ensembl:misc_RNA 7SK 7SK RNA
AGAUGUGAGGGUAAUCUCACUGUGACAUCUGUCACACCAUAGGUGAUCUGGUGGGUUGGCCAGGUGUCCCCUUUCCCUCCGUUCCACUUUGUGCACAUCCCUCCCAAAGCUUGGUGCUUGCUUUGAAAGGAAGACUUUAUCUGAUCCAGGUGGACCAUUCUGCGGUCAAGUGUACCUGUGCUGGUAGCUGUGCUCAACUACAAGAACCUCCAACUCUUGAGCUCUCAAGGUCCAGCUGCUGGUAUUUUAGGAGGGCAUCCCUGCAUGCAGCAAGAUUUAAUGUCACAGUGGCAGGAUU